rnacentral:lncRNA from 1 species
AAUAAUCUCAGGACUCAUUUCAAAAUUCAAAGCAAUCAAAGGUGUAACAUAUGAGAAACUAGAUCCAGGAUCCAACAAAGCAUACACAUCAAACUAAAAUAUACGAAGCAUACCAGUAACAACAUCGGGAGAGUCCUCUUGUUCCUGGUGGGACGGUAAAGCAUAGAAUCUAUUCUGGCGCUACCCGCCAACAUUGCUAGAAGAGGCGCCCUGAGCUGGGGCUGGGCGAGU